GCACCAGUGGUGUAGUGGUAUCAUGCAAGAUUCCCAUUCUUGCGACCCGGGUUCGAUUCCUGGCUGGUGCA
rnacentral:tRNA from 1 species